AACCUUUACACUGCACGACAGUGCGAUAAGGGAAUCCCAAGUGCGUAGGCAUGGAGCCUACGCUUUUGUCCACCGUAGGGAGGUGGACGAAUAAGGGCUGGGCAAGACCGGUGCCAGCCGCCGCGGUAAUACCGGCAGCCCGAGUGAUGGCCGAUCUUAUUGGGCCUAAAGCGUCCGUAGCUGGCCGCACAAGUCCAUCGGAAAAUCCACCCGCCCAACGGGUGGGCGUCCGGUGGAAACUGUGUGGCUUGGGACCGGAAGGCGCGACGGGUACGUCCGGGGUAGGAGUGAAAUCCCGUAAUCCUGGACGGACCGCCGAUGGCGAAAGCACGUCGCGAGAACGGAUCCGACAGUGAGGGACGAAAGCUAGGGUCUCGAACCGGAUUAGAUACCCGGGUAGUCCUAGCCGUAAACAAUGCCUGCUAGGUGUGGCUCCCACUGCGAGUGGGUGCUGUGCCGUAGGGAAGCCGCUAAGCAGGCCGCCUGGGAAGUACGUCCGCAAGGAUGAAACUUAA
rnacentral:rRNA from 1 species